UACGUAGGGCGCAAGCGUUGUCCGGAAUUUAUUGGGCGUAAAGAGCUCGUAGGCGGUCUGUCGCGUCGGAUGUGAAAGCCCGGGGCUUAACCCCGGGUCUGCAUUCGAUACGGGCAGACUAGAGUGUGGUAGGGGAGAUCGAAUUCCUGGUGUAGCGGUGAAAUGCGCAGAUAUCAGGAGGAACACCGGUGGCGAAGGCGGAUCUCUGGGCCAUUUACUGACGCUGAGGAGCGAAAGCGUGGGGAGCGAACAGG
rnacentral:rRNA from 1 species